UCCAUCCUGCACAGUUCCCCGUCCUGACACCCACUGCUCCAUGGGCCAAACUCUCUACCGGCCACAAACACUGACCCAGCUUCUGGCUUGAAGGAGAUCUACAGUGCAUUUUUGCCCAUGUUCCAAAACCAAAAUAACGCAUAUGUCCAAUUGAACAGACGGGGCCAUCCACCACCUGGACCCUUGGGAGAAGGCCUCUUAUGCAUCCAAAACACGAGUCCUGAGGAUAGAAUCCUCGAAAAGCCUCAAAAUCUGACCCACUAACCGAACAGAGUUGUAUUCUUGUAUAUUCUGAAAAAUUCUGGGCUGGGACUUCCCCUGCCUCUCUGUGUUCCCGCUUCUCUUUGCUUCUUGCCCCGUUGCUUCUUAGGCAGCCGGUUCUCUUUGUCAAUAAAAGAUCCACCUCUUCCUCAUCACGUAAAUAGCCACAGUCCUCCUCCUGGCACCUUUCGGAUCCCGACUAGACUAUGUAUCAGCUUCUUCACCCAUCUCCCCGCCUGCAGGGCUUGUACUUCGGUCUACAGUCGAGAUCAUUUCUCUAAAGGGUCAUUCCGCACGUGUGUCUCUACUCCUCGAAACCUUCAUUGGUCACUCAUUCCUCUCCGCACGAAGCGGAAAGCGGCUUGGAACUUCCUACUCUUCGGUAUUUGACGGGCCAUAGUUCUGGCCAUCUUCCGAGCCUGAUGGUACACCAAUUCGAGCUUCACUGAGGGGUCAGAGGUUCUCUUUCCUUCUGACAGAUCACAGAGACCAUCAAUAUAUCCCAAAGAAGAAGAGUAUCAUGGGUUCUUUUGAGACUUCUGUGAUCUAGCAAACACCACAGAAAACCACAAAAUAAACUCAGAGACUUAGGACCCUUGGCAAAUGGUGGCUGAGCACUGAUGAAUCUAAGUGAAAGGAGCUCCAGAACUGCAGUAUACAAAUGCUGAGGGAAGAGGAAAAGCAGCGUGGUCUAGUGGUUAGAGCACAGGCCCUGCAGUCGGAAGGAUCGGGUUUCUAAUUCGGCUCCACCACCUGUCUGCUGUGUGGCUUUGGACUGCCUGAUUUCCUGUCUUCACUGGCCUUGGCAGACUCCAUGCUGGGAAUUGCAGGCAGUCAGUCACACGGCAGCAACUGCUCCCGCUCUCUACUACUUCCUUUUUCCUGAGAACUCUCUGUGCGUCUGAGUGGAUUGUUAUCCUGUGUCGGAAAGAGGUCGUGUCCGCUCCGAUUAUCCUGUAUUUACCACAGCGGUUGGAACACACAAAGUAGUAAAAUGCCGUCGUCGUCCUCCCCCCCCCCGGCCCCCGAUGAAGCGGCACAGAGGAGCUGAGACCAGCUGAUGGCUGAAACGACAUCUCAUUUUACGGAUUCGAGAAAGAAAUUGAAGAUGAAACUUCCCAAUAACCUAAUUUUCAUUUUUAAAAGCAUGAAGUUGGACUCAGCAGCUAAGAAAUUGAAUUUGCGAGCUGUUAAAUGUCAGAACUGACCUCUGGGAGUUUGAGGUGGGAUGAUGUGGUGAAGGGCAGGCUUCAGGUCAUGUUUUAUACAAGAAGUUUAAUUGUUCUGGCUAAGAAGCAAAAGUGACUCAUUGACUCAAAGUGGGUCUCUAUCUCCCAGUACAGAUUUUGAAUGGGGGAGGAUCCUGCUAGCAAUAAUAUCUUAAAAGAAUUGGACUAGCUCACUUCAGUAUUUUAACUACUUCCCUCCGGAUUCAUUUGUUUUGGACACGUAGAGUUGAGAUCAGUCCAAUGAUAGCAAAAAAACAGUGCCUUUGUCACUCUUUUUGAACCCCAGUGAGUCUUUUCACGGUGUUCAAGUCGAGCUUUUUUGGCCAAAGAAAAUUUUAUGCUAUUGAGCCUUUACUAAGCCUUUUAUUGAAAAACAUUAAACACUUUAUGGCUAUGAGGAUUGUAAAGUCAUCAUGA